UACAGAGGUCUCAGGCGUUGUUCGGAUUCAUUGGGCGUAAAGGGUGCGUAGGCGGUUUGUCGCGUCGGGAGUGAAAUCCACUGGCUUAACUGGUGGCUUGCUUCGAUACGGGCAGACUGGAGGUAUGCAGGGGAGAACGGAAUUCCUGGUGUAGCGGUGAAAUGCGCAGAUAUCAGGAGGAACACCGGUGGCGAAGGCGGUCUCUGGGCAUGUCCUGACGCUGAGGAGCGAAAGUGUCGGGAGGCGAACAGG
rnacentral:rRNA from 1 species